AAAUUAUUACAUUAAUGUCAUGAUUUUCAGUAAAGCUGCUUUGAAAUCAUUUGUAUAGUUAAAAGAGCUGUAGAAAUAAGUUUGACUUGACUUGUCCACUCACCUUAAAUUGCUGAUUGUUAUGCGGGUUGAUUCUGAAACAGGAGACAAAACAGUCGAUCAUUAAGUCCAAGUCUGCACUCUGGCUCCCUGCACCUCUGGAAAACGGUUUAGCUGGGUUAAACAGCAACCCCUGGAAACAAAGAGACAACCGUCAAUGAAAAGGACAGCAUCAACACGAAACAUUCAGAUGCAUCUGAGCCACUGCAAGUCACCAGGACAGAGGACGAGGAGGAUGAUCUGCAGGGGCCAAACAGCUGCCUUUCUCUUCGUACUCUCGGCAAAACUAUCCACCAGAUCAAACAACUUCUCGGCACACUCUGAAACACACACACAGAUCAAAUGCACAUAUCCUCUCCAAAACAAUACUGAUAUGGUACAGUGAGUCUUCAGUUUUCAGCGAACGCACCAGCCAUGUCUGCCUGAGGCCUCUGGUACAGCCUGGUGAAUUCAUCAGCAUAAUUUUCCACCCAGUUCCAGAACGCCUGCAAAAUCAAUCAAAUUAAAACACACAAAUACAGCAGAUGAGGAGAGGACAUCACUAGGUGGCAGCAGAGACAAUUUCAUACAAAACACCAACAAAUUACAAAAUAUGUUCAAUUAAAGAUUUAAAUCUAUAAAGUAUUAUUUGACAGUCAACAACACUCAGGAUAAUGUGCGCUUUUUGUAUUGUGCAUAAUAAUUUUUACCAUUGUCAUUCUUAUGAGUCAUUUUAUUACAAUAUAUACCCAUAGGAUUAAAUUACAGAAUUUGUAUCCUGGUUAUGUAUUACCUUGUCCAGUUAAAUCAUAAUUUGUCUUCGUAUGCAUUUGUCCCUCAAAUGUUCUGUUGUUCUGUCAUAGGUUAUUUUAUUUAAUUGUUUAUUUUCUUAUUGUAAUGAUCUUUUUUCCCUUGUUGUCGUUGGUCUGUGAAAAAGCAAAAACACUAAAAUAUAUAAAAUAAAAUAAAAAUAAAAAUAUUUAAAUCUAUAAAA
ensembl:lncRNA